rnacentral:rRNA from 1 species
CCUACGGGAGGCAGCAGUGAGGAAUAUUGGUCAAUGGACGAGAGUCUGAACCAGCCAAGUAGCGUGAAGGAUGACUGCCCUAUGGGUUGUAAACUUCUUUUAUAUGGGAAUAAAACGUUCCACGUGUGGGAUUUUGUAUGUACCAUAUGAAUAAGGCUCGGCUAACUCCGUGCCAGCAGCCGCGGUAAUACGGGGGAUCCGAGCGUUAACCGGAUUUAUUGGGUUUAAAGGGAGCGUAGGUGGAUUGUUAAGUCAGUUGUGAAAGUUUGCGGCUCAACCGUAAAAUUGCAGUUGAAACUGGCAGUCUUGAGUACAGUAGAGGUGUGCGGAAUGCGUGGUGUAGCGGUGAAAUGCUUAGAUAUCACGAAGAACUCCGAUUGCGAAGGCAGUUCACUGGACUGCAACUGACACUGAGGCUCGAAAGUGUGGGUAUCAAACAGGAUUAGAUACCCCAGUAGUC